rnacentral:rRNA from 1 species
AGUUCGUGGAUUAAUUUGUCUGGUUAAUUCCGUUAACGAACGAGACCUUAACUUGCUAAUUGGGGUUUAAUAUUGUAUAUUACUCCCUGUUAGAAGGACCAUGUGUCUCUAACACAAGGAAGCGUGAGGCAAUAACAGGU